CGGGAGACCUCGGCCCACUCUCCGGGUCGGGAAGUUCCGAGGGUUGCACUAAAAUGGGAAGAACCUGCCCGGGCAGGCAGAGGAAGGAGAAUUCCUGGCAGAGGAUCGAACUUGGGACCUUGCACUUGCGCAGUAGGCGGCGAAACCACUGAGCUAAAUCCCCAGCCUGCAAAUGGACUCCUUAUCCAACCUCAGCCCUGUUGGGAAAUGCGGCUUCCUGUUCUGAUGCAGAACGUCAAAGUGUGUGUUUUAUUGUGUUCAAGGAUAUACAACAUGCAGUUUGCUAUUUUAUCAAGGCGGUUUUAAAAUAUGCUCAAUAAUGUAUUUUGAUUUCUUAAAAAGUUAAAUGUUGGGAAAUAGUAAAACUCUCAUGAUGCA